AGUGGUGGGGCCAGGCCGGCCUUUCCCAUUUCUGAGGAAUUUGUCCUGGGGGAGGGGCUAUCUUGCUGACCUGUGAGUCCCUUAGAACUUGAGAGCUUCUCCAGGUGCCGAGGAAGCUGCUCAAAACCUGAAUGCCUUGCCCAACCCACUCUGAAAAUACACCAAAGAUCAGGCUGCAGAGAGACUACCUAGCAGUUCCUGGGACAGUAAAUAGCUCCAGUUCUAACUUUGCACUCAUCACAAAGGGAGACUAAAUUGUUUUAAGAUAGACUUGAAGUUUGAGGGGCCUGCUGAGGGGACCAGGAGCCGGGCACUUGAGAGCAACCUCUAGGAACUGAGUGUGGUCUCUGGCUGACCAGGGUCCCAAGCUACCAGCUGGCACUAAAAUGAGGACCUGAGUCACAUGGUUUCAGGGAAGUGAAUCCUGCCAACAACCAUGGAUCUGUCCCAAGUUGAGCCUCCAAAUGGAGAUGCACCUGGAUGGUGAGUUGGUUUCAGCCCUUUGAGAUUCUGAGCAGAGAACUCAGUUCAAAUGUGCGGGAUCCUGGCCUACAGAAACGGGGAGGGAACAAUGGGGGUUGCUUUAAGCUGUUAGUAGCAAAUGAAUGCAGUAAUAUUUCAAGUAUUGCUCCUUUAUAUUAGAAAAAUAUGAUAAUAAUUAGAAAAGAAAUUGUGAGAAGUCAUGUUUGAUAGCUCAGGAAAUGACAGAUCAAAUGCCCCCAGCAAAUUGCCUUUUCUCUUUUCCCCAUGAGAGCUACAUUCCCAACUUUUUGUUGUUGCUGUUGGUUUUGUUUUUGUGAUCCUCUUGCCUCAGCCUCUCAAGUAGCUGGAAUUACAGGUGUGAACCAUUGUUCCCUGCUACAUUUCGACACUUCAGAUGGACACUUUCUCAUGGACAAGGGCUGGAUUGGGAGAGUUAAGGGAUGCAUGUUUGUCUUCCUCCUGACAGUUGGCCACAUGUGGUCAGCCCUUGGGAGGCCAGUGCAUGUCUCAUGGGUCCUUGCUCUGGUCCUGGGACAACCUUGGUCAGUGGAAACCACAAUUGCCCCUGCCUUGUAUGGAUUCUGAGUUCCUUCUGUUGAAACAUCUAUUCCAGACAACAUCAAGGUAAAAUGAGGUCCUCUGAAGAGAAGCACCGCUGCAGAUACUGCCAAAGUCGAGAUAUCUACUAACUGAGUCACAGCCAAACAGUGUGGCUACUCUGGACAGGGGACGGUUCCUGUCCUGGGUAGGACAGAGUGGGAUGUUAAGAGAUGGCAUCAUACACUAGGAUUGGUGUACCAUCUAAAACUUACAAAUUGUU